rnacentral:precursor_RNA from 9 species
UCGCCAUUUUCUUCGAUGAGAUGUGCAGUUAAAUCUCGUCCGGUAGUAUAUGCGAGUUGAAAAGCAUUGCAACCGGUGGAGAUUCCACUGACUUCUCUAUUUUCAAAGCAUGAAUCC